UUCGAUUCCGGAGAGGGAGCCUGAGAAACGGCUACCACAUCUACGGAAGGCAGCAGGCGCGCAAAUUGCCCAAUCCCGACACGGGGAGGCAGUGACAAGAAAUAACAACUCUUGGAUUUCUAAGAAGUGUAAUGAGGAUAAUUUUACAACCCUUACCGAAAGCAAUUGGAGGGCAAGUCUGGUGCCAGCAGCCGCGGUAAUUCCAGCUCCAAUAGCGUAUAUUAAAGUUGUUGCAGUUAAAAAGCUCGUAGUUGAAUUUCUGAUUAUGGAUGUAGCGGUUUCCGUUACAUUUGUAGUCAUCCACAUGAGAACCUUUCUCGGCCUUCACUGGUCGGUUGGGGGAUCAUGUACUUUACUUUGAAAAAAUCAGAGUGUUUCAGGCAGGCGUUUGCAUGAAUACACAAGCAUGGAAUAAUGGAAUAGGACUAGGGUCCAUUUUAUUGGUUAUUGGACCAUAGUAAUGAUUAAUAGGGACAGUUGGGGGCAUUAGUAUUUAAUUGUCAGAGG
rnacentral:rRNA from 1 species